AAGUUAUUUGUGAAAUGCACAUUGGAAAAAAGAAAAUAAGAUUUGAGAUGGCAUUUCUAUGAUAAUUUUAUUGCAAAUGUUGACCAUGUUUUUGUGUUUGUCUGCGAAAGGUAAUUCAAAAUAUACAUAAGACAUAUUUCUGGGAUUUAUUGUCAUCUGUGAACUAAAUUAGUAAAGCAAAAUUUGCUUCAUUUUUUGAACCCGAGGCAGGGCAGUCCAUCACCCCGAGAAGCACAUUUUACAGGAAACAGCCGUGGCCACGCAGCAGGCAGAACCUCACGCCACAGUUCAGAGAAAACCGCCCUCCACUCUGUACUGGAGCGAGACUCCCUGACACUUGUCCAUGGCCGAGUUUUAGAGUUGUCAGUUGCUGUUAAUGACAAUUUUGCCCCAUCUGUUCCAACACGAAAAUGAGGCUUCCUUGCCACAGACAAGAUAGAUCUCCAAGAGUUGAAGAAGGAGAAGUCUUAAAGGUAUUUCACUCAGCUUAGGCCCGUUUUGAUGAUUCACAUGCCUAACCAAGCCACCCACAAACGACUUCUGGUGGUUGCCGAGAAAGAGGACCCCAGAGACUUCUCAGCGUCUGCCAUUGCCCCCCCCCACCGGCAC
rnacentral:lncRNA from 1 species